rnacentral:rRNA from 1 species
GAUGAACGCUGGCGGCGUGCUUAACACAUGCAAGUCGAACGAUGAAGCCCAGCUUGCUGGGUCGAUUAGUGGCGAACGGGUGAGUAACACGUGAGUAACCUGCCCUUGACUCUGGGAUAAGCCCGGGAAACUGGGUCUAAUACCGGAUAGGAGCGCCUGUCGCAUGACGGGUGCUGGAAAGAUUUUUCGGUCAUGGAUGGACUCGCGGCCUAUCAGCUUGUUGGUGAGGUAAUGGCUCACCAAGGCGACGACGGGUAGCCGGCCUGAGAGGGUGACCGGCCACACUGGGACUGAGACACGGCCCAGACUCCUACGGGAGGCAGCAGUGGGGAAUAUUGCACAAUGGGCGGAAGCCUGAUGCAGCGACGCCGCGUGAGGGAUGACGGCCUUCGGGUUGUAAACCUCUUUCAGUAGGGAAGAAGCGGAAGUGACGGUACCUGCAGAAGAAGCACCGGCUAACUACGUG